UACGAAGGGGGCUAGCGUUGUUCGGAAUUACUGGGCGUAAAGGGCGCGUAGGCGGUACUUCAAGUCAGGCGUGAAAGCCCCGGGCUCAACCUGGGAACCGCGCUUGAGACUGGAGAACUAGAGUUCGGGAGAGGAUGGUGGAAUUCCCAGUGUAGAGGUGAAAUUCGUAGAUAUUGGGAAGAACACCGAUGGCGAAGGCAGCCCAUCUGGACCGACACUGACGCUGAGGCGCGAAAGCGUGGGGAGCAAACAGG
rnacentral:rRNA from 1 species